GAGGGUGUAGCUCAAGUGGUAGAGCGCCUGCUCAGCAUGCAUGAGGUCCUGGGUUCAAGCCCCAGUUCCUCCA
rnacentral:tRNA from 1 species